UUAAAAAGCUCGUAGUUGAAAUUGUGUCCUGCGGUGUCGGUCUACCGAMUGCGGUACGACAGGCACGUCUGCGGGGCUUCUCGCCGGUGCGUCCACCGCCGGUGUGYGUCGCUNNNNNNNNNNNNNNNNNCGCGCGYCGAGGCGGGCCGUCGCGGCUGUUUACUUUGAACAAAUUAGAGUGCUCAAAGCGGGCUAACACUUGCCUGAAUAUUGUACGCAUGGAAUAAUAGAAUAGGACCUCGGUUCUGUUUUGUUGGCUUUCUGAUACCAGAGGUAAUGAUUAAUAGGGACAACUGGGGGCAUUCGUAUUGCGACGUUAGAGGUGAAAUUCUUGGAUCGUCGCAAGACGGACUAAAGCGAAAGCAUUUGCCAAAGGUGUUUUCAUUAAUCAAGAACGAAAGUUAGAGGUUCGAAGGCGAUUAGAUACCGCUGUAGUUCUAACCAUAAAUGAUGCCAGCCAGCGAUCCGCCGAAGAUUCAUAAUUUUAUCCCGGUGGGCAGCUCCCGGGAAACCAAAGCUUUC
rnacentral:rRNA from 1 species